ACUCAAAGGAAUAGACGGGGGCCCGCACAAGCAGUGGAUUAUGUGGUUUAAUUCGAAGCAACGCGAAGAACCUUACCAGGUCUUGACAUCUAACAAAAGGCCAGAGAUGGCCCGUGCCCUUCGGGGAGUGUUAAGACAGGUGGUGCAUGGUUGUCGUCAGCUCGUGUCGUGAGAUGUUGGGUUAAGUCCCGCAACGAGCGCAACCCCUGCCAUUAGUUGCUACGUAAGAGCACUCUAAUGGGACCGCUACCGACAAGGUGGAGGAAGGUGGGGACGACGUCAAAUCAUCAUGCCCCUUAUGACCUGGGCUACACACGUAAUACAAUGGCCGUUAACAACGGGAAGCAAUACAGUGAUGUGGAGCAAAACCCUAAAAACGGUCUCAGUUCGGAUCGCAGGCUGCAACCCGCCUGCGUGAAGUUGGAAUUGCUAGUAAUCGCGGAUCAGCACGCCGCGGUGAAUACGUUCCCGGGCCUUGUACACACCGCCCGU
rnacentral:rRNA from 1 species